CACUGAGAGGGGGGCUGGGAGAGAGACACUGGAAGAGGGGAGACACGGGGCGAGAGACGAGGGUAGAGAGACGGAGACACGAGGCGAGAGACGCGACAUGGGUACACGCGGCCUGGAUACGAGGCGACACGAGGACUCUGAACGCGCCGUGGUGAGUCGCCACGCGCUAUAAACAAGCUAUGAACAAGUCGUCGGCGUGGCUGCGGUGGGAUGGUGCAGGCCUGGGACCUGGCGCCGCCUGCGCGCGCGGAGACCCCAGCAGGACGUGAACCCUCGGCCGCGUUUCUCCGUUCCUCAUCGGUGUCUGGGUAUGCCGAGUCCUUGUUCCCAGACGGCACGUGGUCCUCCGUCAGGAAGCUGCUUGAAUGCACGUUCCUGUGAAAACGCUGCUUGGCCAUUGAGUUGGAGCUGCCAGGAGCUGGACGAUUCGUUGGCGCUGCUGCGGUGAGAUGGUGCAGGGCGGCACCUGGCGUUGCCUGCAUGCGCAGAGACCCCCAAGCAGGGUGUGAAACAUUGGCCACUUUCCUCCAUUCCUCAUCGGCAUCUGGGUACCCAGAGCCCUUGUUCCCAGACGGUGAGCCUGCGGUUGGCUGCAUUUCACCCGGGCGUGGCUGCUGUGAUUGAAGGCGCUGUGUACAUCAGGUGGAACACAAUUGUUUCCUUGGUGCAACAAGAUGCUUCAAUGAUUUACUGCUCAAAUGAGCAUUGGGGUAGUGCUUGUUUAUAGCUCUGAGCCAGUUAUGGCUGAGUCAACCCCCAACCAGGAUUUGAACCUGCAAACUUGAGCUGAUGGCUAUUGCCAAGCCACCUGGCUGCGUGUUUAUAUCAACACUUGGGAAUUGACUAAACAUUCCUCUAGGAGAUGUCUAUCUGCAAAUGCUAAGUAGGAAUGUUUAUUUAAUGUUUUCUUUUUAUUAUUUCCCUUCUAUGUGACUUUACCAAAAGAACCAAGAAUAGGUUCUCAAGUGGUAUAUAUAUUAAAAAUAUGUAAAGCAACCAUGAUUGUAUUCUACUUGCUGUGAACUCGACAUGGAACUUAAUGUUGAGUGGUAAUAUUUAAAUAAAUAUUUGCCUUGA